rnacentral:rRNA from 1 species
UACGGAGGGUGCAAGCGUUAUCCGGAUUUACUGGGUUUAAAGGGUGCGCAGGCGGAUAUGUAAGUCAGUGGUGAAAUCUUCCCGCUUAACGGGAAAACUGCCAUUGAUACUAUAUAUCUUAAAUGCUGUGGAGGUAAGCAGAAUAUGUCAUGUAGCGGUGAAAUGCUUAGAGAUGACAUAGAAUACCUAUUGCGAAGGCAGCUUACUACGCAGAUAUUGACGCUCAUGCACGAAAGCGUGGGGAUCAAACAGG